GAGAGUUAAACAGUACGUGAAAUUGUUGAAAGGGAAACGAUUGAAGCCAGUCGUACCUAUGGGUAAUCAGCCUUUUGGGUGUGAUUUUGUGGAGCGUGAGGAGUUAAACGCCUUCAUGCCUGCAUAUUCGUGCACUUUGGGUGUACUUGCCCGUGUGUAAGUUAACAUCAAUUUUGGUGGUCAUAAAAUGGCUGGAGGAAUGUAGCUUUGAUCUUGUAUUGAAGUGUUAUAGCCUUCGGUAGAUGUGACGAUCGGGAUUGAGGAUUGCAACGGAUACCCUUCUGGGCUAUUCGUCUGAUCUCUGAAACGUUGCCUUGAUGUCGAAAGCUUGCUUAUGAUGUUAGGGUAUUACGGUCAAAAGGUUAGAACGGAUUAAAUUCGUUAAGGAUGUUGACGUAAUGACUUUAAACGA
rnacentral:rRNA from 1 species